rnacentral:rRNA from 1 species
UUCGUCACACUAUCAUUAACUGAAUCCAUAGGUUAAUGAGGCGAACCGGGGGAACUGAAACAUCUAAGUACCCCGAGGAAAAGAAAUCAACCGAGAUUCCCCCAGUAGCGGCGAGCGAACGGGGAGGAGCCCAGAGCCUGAAUCAGUGUGUGUGUUAGUGGAAGCGUCUGGAAAGGCGCGCGAUACAGGGUGACAGCCCCGUACACAAAAAUGCACAUGCUGUGAGCUCGAUGAGUAGGGCGGGACACGUGGUAUCCUGUCUGAAUAUGGGGGGACCAUCCUCCAAGGCUAAAUACUCCUGACUGACCGAUAGUGAACCAGUACCGUGAGGGAAAGGCGAAAAGAACCCCGGCGAGGGGAGUGAAAAAGAACCUGAAACCGUGUACGUACAAGCAGUGGGAGCCUCUUUUAUGGGGUGACUGCGUACCUUUUGUAUAAUGGGUCAGCGACUUAUAUUCUGUAGCAAGGUUAACCGAAUAGGGGAGCCGAAGGGAAACCGAGUCUUAACUGGGCGUUAAGUUGCAGGGUAUAGACCCGAAACCCGGUGAUCUAGCCAUGGGCAGGUUGAAGGUUGGGUAACACUAACUGGAGGACCGAACCGACUAAUGUUGAAAAAUUAGCGGAUGACUUGUGGCUGGGGGUGAAAGGCCAAUCAAACCGGGAGAUAGCUGGUUCUCCCCGAAAGCUAUUUAGGUAGCGCCUCGUGAAUUCAUCUCCGGGGGUAGAGCACUGUUUCGGCAAGGGGGUCAUCCCGACUUACCAACCCGAUGCAAACUGCGAAUACCGGAGAAUGUUAUCACGGGAGACACACGGCGGGUGCUAACGUCCGUCGUGAAGAGGGAAACAACCCAGACCGCCAGCUAAGGUCCCAAAGUCAUGGUUAAGUGGGAAACGAUGUGGGAAGGCCCAGACAGCCAGGAUGUUGGCUUAGAAGCAGCCAUCAUUUAAAGAAAGCGUAAUAGCUCACUGGUCGAGUCGGCCUGCGCGGAAGAUGUAACGGGGCUAAACCAUGCACCGAAGCUGCGGCAGCGACGCUUAUGCGUUGUUGGGUA